rnacentral:rRNA from 1 species
GAUCCUGGCUCAGGAUGAACGCUGGCGGCGUGCUUAACACAUGCAAGUCGAGCGAAGCGCUUACGACAGAACCUUCGGGGGAAGAUGUAAGGGACUGAGCGGCGGACGGGUGAGGUAACGCGUGGGUAACCUGCCUUAUACAGGGGGAUAACAGUUGGAAACGGCUGCUAAUACCGCAUAAGCGCACAGUACCGCAUGGUACGGUGUGAAAAACUCCGGUGGUAUGAGAUGGACCCGCGUCUGAUUAG